CAACGCCGCGUGAAGGAUGAAGGCCUUCGGGUCGUAAACUUCUUUUGAGGGAGACGAGAAAGGACGGUAUCCCUCGAAUAAGCCACGGCUAACUACGUGC
rnacentral:rRNA from 1 species